rnacentral:rRNA from 2 species
UCUGGUAUUGAUUGGUGCUUGCAUCAUGAUUUACAUUUGAGUGAGUGGCGAACUGGUGAGUAACACGUGGGAAACCUGCCCAGAAGCGGGGGAUAACACCUGGAAACAGAUGCUAAUACCGCAUAACAACUUGGACCGCAUGGUCCGAGUUUGAAAGAUGGCUUCUGCUAUCACUUUUGGAUGGUCCCGCGGCGUAUUAUCUAGAUGGUGGGGUAACGGCUCACCAUGGCAAUGAUACGUAGCCGACCUGAGAGGGUAAUCGGCCACAUUGGGACUGAUACACGGCCCAAACUCCUACGGGAGGCAGCAGUAGGGAAUCUUCCUCAAUGGACGAAAGUCUGAUGGAGCAACGCCCCGUGAGUGAAGAAGGGUUUCGUUCUCGUAAAACUCUGUUGUUAAAGAAGAACAUAUAUGAGAGUAACUGUUCGUGUAUUGACGGUUUUUAUCCAAAAAGCAACGGCUAACUACGUGCCUGCAGCCGCGGUAAUACUUACGUGGCAAGCGUUGUCCGGAUUUAUUGGUCGUAAAGCGAGCGCACGCGGUUUUUUAUUUCUGAUGUGAAAGACUUCCGCUCCCCCCAACAAGUGCAUCAUACACUGAGAAACUUGAUUGCUGAGGACGACAGAGCACCUCCCUCCGCUGCGAUGAAAUGAAUACAUAUAUGAAAGAACACCACAUGGCGCAGGGAGGCUGUCUGUACUGUAGCUGACGCUCCUGCACGUUAGUAUGAGUAGCAUACAGACCAUAUACCUCCGUAAGCCCACCAUGCCAACGACGAUAGCUACGAUGUUCGGACGGGUUUUCCCGCCUUCUACGCUUCAGCUUACGCCUUAAGCAUUCCGCCUUGGGGGAGUUACGGUCCCCAGGGCUUGAA